rnacentral:rRNA from 1 species
GUAGUCUGCAACCCGACUACAUGAAGCUGGAAUCGCUAGUAAUCGCGGAUCAGAAUGCCGCGGUGAAUACGUUCCCGGGUCUUGUACACACCGCCCGUCACACCAUGAGAGUUGGGAAUACCCGAAGCCUGUGAGCUAACGAAAGAGGCAGCAGUCGAAGGUAGAAUCAAUGAUUGGGGUGAAGUCGUAACAAGGUAAC